AAAUAAAUAAAAAAUAAAAAAAAAUUUAAAAAACAUAAAGCCCAAAAACAAGCAUGAGUUCGAUUUGUUCUGUAGUUGGUAUCGUUCAUUAAUACGAGUAUAUAGUAAAAAUGCAUGUUAGUUAAAAAACGGUAAAAUUGGUAAAAAUGUAUGGUAUUAAUAGUUUUUAUUGGUUUCAAGAAUAUUAGAAUUUGCAUGAGUUUUAAUUAGUGUUAUCUUAAAACAAUUAAUAAUCGCACGACUAUUUUUAUAGUGUUAUUGAUUACCUAGCAUUAAUAUAGUAUUAUUAUUAAUAGCAUGUAGGUAUUUGUAUUGUAGAUGCAUGUAACUAUGGACAGGAUCCAAGUUUUUCAAAACCGUUGACAUACGAUUCAAUUAUGUACUUAGGUGGAUUGAUCGUGUUUUGAAAAACUGGUGAAAAUUUGAUGGAUUUUUUCUUUUUAUCGAUUCAGGCAUAUUUUUAUAAGAUUUAUUUUUUAAGUCGCUUUAAUAUCAUUUACAAGAAAUGUAUUCCUUAUAUGUGUGUGAUAUAUGAGUGAAUAAAAGCAUACCUACAUAUUAAUAAAACAUAUUAAUAAAAAUAAGUUUUUUAUUUUGGAUAAAAUCUUGAUAGGUUUUUCAGGUAAUUUUUGCUUAUUCGUACAAGCAAAAACCACAUGUACGCACAUAUAUUCUUUUGUACAUAGAUGUAGAUAUGUCAACGAAAAAGUAAAAAUUUUUGAAUUCAUACUGGCAAUUUGAAUCAUACAUGUAGCUUGUAAGAUGCGCGACAUUGAAGAUGUGCUGUGGCAUAGUUGGUAUAGGCGAAGCAAUUAUGAUGAUGCUUUGCCGAUACGAUCACAGUUCAACACCGAACCGAUGCUGUGGUUUUUUAUGUAUUUAUAAAAAAUGAAAUAAAUAAUUUGGUGGUUGAACUUGAACCAAAUUGGAUUUU